GGGUAAAUAUACCUUUUUUUUUCUUUGCAAGUAUCCAUGAUUUUCUGUGCCUGAUGCUAUUUUCCAAAUUUAGGGAUUGCAAAAGCUGUAUGCUCGAUGUGGCAUAAUGAAAACACUUGAAUAUGUUUUCUAAAUCAAGCUAAAAGCAUAAUCCAGUGUACUUCAUGUUUGGUGGCGUUUGAAACUGUUGACUCACCACAUGUGUCACGCUUUACCUCUUACAGGUCAGAGACACGUGUUAUUGAGGAGAUUACUUCCACUAUUUGGAAGUGUUUAAAUCGGGAACUCUUACAUGUUGAGAAGAACCUUGUUGGGAUGGAUCGUGGAAGGGCGUCUUCUUCUUCUACUUCUAUUGGCC
rnacentral:lncRNA from 1 species